UACGUAGGGGGCAAGCGUUGUCCGGAAUCAUUGGGCGUAAAGAGCGUGUAGGCGGCUUGGUAAGUCCGCUGUGAAAGUCCGGGGCUCAACCCUGGAAAGCCGGUGGAAACUGUCAAGCUUGAGUCCGGAAGAGGCGAGUGGAAUUCCUGGUGUAGCGGUGAAAUGCGCAGAUAUCAGGAGGAACACCAAUGGCGAAGGCAGCUCGCUGGGACGGUACUGACGCUGAGACGCGAAAGCGUGGGGAGCAAACAGG
rnacentral:rRNA from 1 species